GCACGCCUGCCCAGUGAAAAAUUCAACGGCCGCGGUACCCUAACCGUGCAAAGGUAGCAUAAUCAUUUGUCUACUAAUUAUAGACCUGUAUGAAAGGCAAAAUGAGGGCCCAACUGUCUCUUAUAAUAAAUCAAUUAAACUGAUCUUCUAGUAAAAAAGCUAGAAUACAACCAUAAGACCAGAAGACCCUGUGAAGCUUAAACUAAACUAUUAAACCCAAUAAUAACUACUUUCGGUUGGGGCGACCUUGGAAAAAAAAAGAACUUCCAAAAAUUAUGAUUCAUCACAUCACAAAAUCUUUAGGCUAACAAGCCACUUAACGACCCAGAUAAAACUGAUUAUUGAACCAAGUUACUCCAGGGAUAACAGCGCAAUCUUCUUCAAGAGCCCAUAUCAAAAAGAAGGUUUACGACCUCGAUGUUGGAUCAGGACAUCCUAAUGGUGCAGACGCUAUUAAGGGUUCGUUUGUUCAACGAUUAACAGUCCUACGUGAUCUGAGU
rnacentral:rRNA from 1 species